CUGGCGGGAGCACCGGCGGACCCCGCGUUAGAGGCCGGAGGCUGGGAGGCAGCCGAGGGCGUGUGAAAAGCACGUGUUUGCUCCGCAAGAUCAAGAAAUUGAAGCACAGAGAGCCUAAAUAGCUCGCCCAGCGUCUCCCAGUUAGUAAGUGGAUGAUCUGCUCUGGAAGCUCAGACGCUGAACCACAGUGUUUUCCCCGUGUGAUCAGAGAACCAAGGACAUGGAUUAUGGUGAAAACAUACAUACAGAGUUUCUGGUGUUUUCUCAAGGAUUGGAUUGGAGGAUGUUUGAGUAGCGCCACCCAAGGUCACUUCCAGGACCACCCCUUCAUGCCAGACCCAAGGUUCUAGACUCAGAGCCCUCAUGAAUGUGUUACACAGGCAGCAGGAGGAAGAAAGAUUUUCUCUUCGCCUGGCAACGGUUCAGCCAAUGAGAGACUGUCACAACUCAGCCAAUGGAAAGCCACUAUACUUCAAACUCUCAGUUUCCUCCAAUGAACUCUUUGUUUACAACGGCUCCUCCUAACUCCCUCUUCUCCUCUAUAAAAGAGUUUCCUCUCCUUUGCUUUACCAGACUUGCAUGUGGUUCGCCCCAGUUG